GCUCAGAGGAGGGCUUCUUUCACCUUCUCCAUUUUUUCUCUCUAAGGUUUCUCUCUUUACAAAUAAAAGUCGCCGUUUUACGUCGAUUUCGCGCCGCACGCGUUACUCGCUGGGUUGGAAACUCAAGGAAAGCUUUUGGAACGUGGGGAGGAGGAUAUUUACUGACUUUUCUGGGAUUUUAACACCAGAAAGAGCUGAGUUGCAGCUUUUGAAAGCUGAGUUCGAGGGCAAUUUCAGCAGCUAAAGAGAAGUUAUUUAGCUGUGAUUGAACCAUCUUAGACCAGGGAUAAGCUGCUCCAAAGAUGGACAAAGGUUUCCAAACUAAUUUGAGUCAAAUUGGUAACCUGAGAAUCUAGUUUGAAAGGUGUUUCAACCAGGG